rnacentral:sRNA from 1 species
UUAUUCACAUGGAAAAAAAAGUUAUUAAUAAAUUAAUAACGAGAGAGUGGGUGGAACUAGUACAAUGCACCGUUGAAUGUGUUACGAUGUGAAGAUCUCAGUGAAAUUUUUAGUUUUAAUGUGUAUCUUCUACCUGGCGUCAGUAUACUGCCCACCGGCCUUCAGAAUAACAGAUGUGCACAUCUCCAGCUUGGUCCAAAAUUGCUGGCUUGGGGCAACGGCGCUGCGAAAGCUACUGUUUGUGCAACAGAGAAUAGGAGCAGAUUCCUAAAUGGGUCUAUCUAAACGUCUGCUGAACCUGCCUGUAGCGCACUUGAGAAAUAUGUCGAUUUCCUUUCAGGAGAAAUCACAGAAGCAGCCAGAGAUACAUCUCCGGUGACUCCUUCAUGCAAAAAGCGUGAUGUAUGUCAAGGCGGACAUGCUCAGCACGUCCAACCAGCUAGGACGUUUGCUGGCCAGGACCCGAAGGGAAAAUGCUGACAGCAUUCUGUAAAGAGCUGGGCAGACGGCAGAAACAAAUUCUCGGCUUGGAAAUUCCCGAGAAACAUUAAAUGACAAAACAUUCGAGAUCUCCGAUUUCGAGCAAAAGGGCCUUAACCGUGGUUGGAACAGAAGAAUGCGAAUUCGUUUUAUGACUACGUAGAAGCGAGUUUCACGCCAUUUCACUUCGCAUAUUUUGCACAGUGAGCACAAUUAUGUGGUAAGAAUAUAUGCCUAUGCCGACUGUAAGCAUCGCAAGUCGGGAACAUUUCAUCUUCUACAGUUUUAUAAUAAGU